rnacentral:lncRNA from 1 species
CCAAAAUAUUCACGGAGCAAGAAGUUAUGAAUUUUACAACUCAGAGGUUUCUCAGCCCGUCCAUCUGCGAGUAUCCGACUUUAGAAGGAGAUUUAAGCUCAAGUAAGGAGCGGCCUGAAGCAAAGCCCGUCAUAAAAUUCAAGAGCAUUCUUUCAGCUUUCCAGAACGCCAAAGAUCAGGAGAAAUGGACACGGAAAUCAGAAGAUAUGUUCAAUUUUCCAGAACCGGUCAAACCAGUGCUACACUCGCCUCAAUUGGAAGCUAACCGGUUCAAUCAGCUUCAAACCAGAAAUUGGCGACCAGGAGAUCAUUUCAACCAAUCAGGAGGUAUUCCAGAAGUCUUUAGCUGCACCAGAACCCAGGAGAUCAGUCGGUUCAAUGGAGAAUCACUUAAAUCAAACCAGAGCUAUUUAUGGAAAGAUUGGACAAUCUUUCGGUUUGAUCCAUUCCAAGCAAUUCCAAUCCAACCAGGAGAACCAGACGACGUCCAGACUAAACCAAGACAUCCAGGAGACAUUAUACACGAGCCAGAAGAGUUCUACAACUUCAUCCCAUGCACCAGCCCACAUAGGAAUAAGAAGAUCCCCAUUAUCACCAAACUGCCUUAUUUGGAGUCUCUUGCAUUCAAACUCCAACAGCUCUUUUUCUACCAAGGCAAGGACGAGAUCAGCAUCUAUCAAGCAUUCAAUAAGGUCCCAAGGAAGCUCUCUCAUCCUCUUAAACCAUACAGGUUCAAGAAAGAUCAGAUUCUUUACUUGGAGCCAAAAUUCCACAAAAGGCUCCAACGGCUAGUUUUCGAUUUCUUUCUUAGUUUUGAUUUGUUUCCUUUUCUAUUUGUUUUAGAACGUUAGGACCUUUGUCUCUGAGCAUUAUAUAAGCUCCUAGACAUCCAUUGUAAAGAUCACCCUUAAUCACCAUGUUAAUAAAAAAGUUUAUUCAGUUUUAUCAAAGUUGUUCUUUGUAUAAAAUAUCGGUCUUUAGGAUUCAAAGAGAGAUUCUUUGUUGUCUUAUUGAUUUCGUGAGUCUAGUUUGUUUGUGCAAAUCAAACAAGCUCAGUACACAGAUUGAGAGAGUCAAUCACUUCGAUCCAUCAUUCCAUCAGAUUGAGAGAUUCAAUCAAACCUUCCUCCGCAAAUCCACUUCAGUUCAUCUUCUAAUCAAGCUGAGAGUGAUACACAUCCAGCAGCUUGAUUCCAUCCUAUCCUUUGUUUAUUUAUCUUGUUUCAUUAUCAUUAUCAUCAUCAUCUUAUUUGUUUUCAUGUUUGUUUCUGUUUGCAUCAUAAAAACUCUAAACUCAUAAAAUUCGGUUCUUUUUGUUUUCAGGUUUAAACCUUGGUUCCACCAUUCAACCAAUUCGUAGGUUACCCCCCCCUGUGCCUACAACAUUUUGGUAUCAGAGCUGAAGCUCCUGAAUCAGGUCACUCUAUCCUUGCAUCAUAUUUCAUUUGCUUGCAUUUGUUUUGUUUUUAUCUAAAACCGAAAACCCAUAAAAACAGUCUUUUGCUUCAAGUUUUUGUUUCUGCAUAUUUUGUUCUUGCUGUUCUUAUAAACCACGAAAAAGAAAAAGAAAGAUGUGUUUGAUUCAUAUUACUUGCACUUAGUUUCGAAAUUCUUGUUAGUUUCCUUUUUGUUUUGUUUCCAUAAUCAAAAAUCCCAUAAAAAAUUGCCAUUUUGAAUUUGUUUCCUUUGUUUGCAUAUCCUUAAAAAAAAAAAAAAUCAUACCAGCUAUUGUUUCAUUCCAUAUUAGUUGGUCCAUUUCGUGAUUGCAUCAGAAAACCAAAAAAAAAAUUAUUUAUUGCAUAGUUACUUCAUUUUGGUUUAUACUUGCAUUUUUCUCGGUUUAGUUUAAAUUAGCUUUGCAUUGUUCAUUGCUCUUAUGCUUGACCAAAACUUUCCAUACUUCACUUGAUCUUUGAUAUUGAUUUCAGGGAGCAAUGGUAGGAGAAGCACACGGCCAAACCCUAGAGGCCACACUGAGCAACCAACUAAUAGCUAUACAAGAGCUCAAUGAUAAGAUUGCUCAGUUGGGAAAAAGGAAUAAGCCACAAGGCCGACGACCACAACAUGGAGAAAGAAGAUUUGGAGAUGCACCAGAGGCUGGCUAUGUUGAGCCUAAGCCACCAGAUCCUUCAUGGAUCACCUCACACCAUACUUCUUCAACUUAUAAAUACUUAACUCAUUCUUAUCUUUAUUUUAAAUCAGUUAAUGAAGUUAAGAUUUAUUCCUUUUCAGGUAGUAGUUGGCCAGAUAAUUAUUUAUCAUGGGAAAGAACCAUGGAUGAUUGGUUUUCAUACCAAGGCGUGCCAAAUAAUGAGAGGCUAGCUCAUGCCAUCAAGCAACUUUCCGGAAAAGCUUACUCAUGGUGGAAAAGAGUAGAUAAGACACAUGGUAAAAGUCCAGAAGAGGUUGUCACCAACUGGAAAGAUCUUAAAGAUGUUAUGAUCAGGAAGUAUGUGACUACACUUCCCACGCAAGAAACCAGAAGAAAAUACCCAAGGAGAUUUUCAAAUGGUGUAUCCAAAGAGGCAAAGAAAGUUGUGCCACAACAAGGCCAUAGAAGCUUGAUCUAUCAAGACCAGAUUCGGCCAAGCCAGAUGCCCACGGUUUUAUAUGAUAAAUACCAACCUUAUGAGGUCCCAAGGUCCAUGGAGAAGAACCUUUUCAGCCCAGACACAUUGGCUAGACACAAACAAAAAUAAGACAAACCAAUUCUUCAAGGAAAGGCCAAGGUAAGUCCUAUACUUGAUAAAUUUGUUUAUAAAUCAUCUCCCACUGGUAUGAGUCACUUGUCUUUGUCCAAGAAUGUUAAGACAGGUCCUGAGGUCCAGAAAGACACGAACUCAACAUCCUUGUUGGAAUCAAAAGCUGUCCAUGACUUAAGGAAUAAAGAGAUUCCAAGCCCAAAGAAAGAAGAGACAACAAGCCAAUGUAAGUCUUCUAACUCUGAAAAUUUAAAAGAUCAGACAUGUUAUAGAUGUCAUAAAAGAGGACACUUUGCUGUAGUUUGUCCAAGUAAACAAGUAUUGAUAGAGACAUCACUAGAAAAGAAAACAGAUUUAUCUAUAAAGAGUGAUAGUUUUAUUCAAUCUGAUUUAUUAGCUCAAAAUUCUUGUAUGAUGCACUUGUCUUUGUCAAAGGGUGAUGUAACAGGAACUAAGGAGCAAGAAUUUAAAGAAGAAGAACCACCAGGCGUGACUCUUGUGAUGGACCAGAAGAUUGUUCAAGAGACAAUGCAGUCCAUAUUGCUUAAAGAAGCAAAACCAAAACAAUGCCAAGGUAAGGCUUUAGAAUCUCAAAAGAGAAUGAAAGCUGACUUGCUCUAUCUUGGUGCAGAUUAUACAGUUUCGAGGUCGAAACCUUGUCAAGAGGGAGGGGAUGAUGUGGUCAUCAGAUCAGCAACUGAACCGGAGGUCAACCCAAAGCCCUACUCAACCAGCCAAGGUGCAAACCAGGACAUACGUGCACUAAAAAUGUCAAAUCUUACAAACCAGGAGGAAUUAAAUCACGAGGCUAAUUUUUAUGGAUUCUACACUCAAGAAGGAGUCCAGUCCAAUUGUAAUUGGGCCAAAAUUUUCACGGAGCAAGAAGUUAUGAAUUUUACAACUCAGAGGUUUCUCAGCCCAUCCAUCUGCGAGUAUCCGACUUUAGAAGGAGAUUUAAGCUCAAGUAAGGAGCGCCCUGAAGCAAAGCCCGUCAUCAAAUUCAAGAGAAUUCUUUCAGCUUUCCAGAAAGCCAAAGAUCAGGAGAAAUGGACACGGAAAUCAGAAGAUAUGUUCAAUUUUCCAGAACCGGUCAAACCAGUGCUACACUCGCCUCAAUUGGAAGCUAACCGGUUCAAUCAGCUUCAAACCAGAAAUUGGCGACCAGGAGAUCAUUUCAACCAAUCAGGAGGUAUUCCAGAAGUCCUUAGCUGCACCAGAACCCAGGAGAUCAGUCGGUUCAAUGGAGAAUCACUUAAAUCAAACCAGAGCUAUUUAUGGAAAGAUUGGACAAUCUUUCGGUUUGAUCCAUUCCAAGCAAUUCCAAUCCAACCAGGAGAACCAGACGACGUCCAGACUAAACCAAGACAUCCAGGAGACAUUAUACACGAGCCAGAAGAGUUCUACAACUUCAUCCCAUGCACCAGCCCACAUAGGAAUAAGAAGAUCCCAUUAUCACCAAACUGCCUUAUUUGGAGUCUCUUGCAUUCAAACUCCAACACCUCUUUUUCUACCAAGGCAAGGACGAGAUCAGCAUCUAUCAAGCAUUCAAGAAGGUCCCAAGAAAGCUCUCUUAUCCCUUAAACCGUCC